rnacentral:rRNA from 1 species
UACGGGGGGGGGCGAGCGUUGUUCGGAAUCACUGGGCGUAAAGGGCGCGUAGGCGGCCCGCACAAGUCUGCGGUGAAAACCCCCGGCUUAACCGGGGGCCGGCCGUGGAAACUGUCGGGCUAGAGGCCGGGAGAGGGCAGCGGAAUUCCCGGUGUAGCGGUGAAAUGCGUAGAGAUCGGGGAGGAACACCGGCGGCGAAGGCGGCUGCCUGGACCGGCCCUGACGCUGAGACGCGAAAGCGUGGGUAGCAAACAGGG